GUGACCUCGGAUCAGGUAGAUCCCCAAUG
rnacentral:rRNA from 1 species